CACACAGGAGGGAGGGUUUUGGAGAAAGAAGAGGGAGGAAGUGUGAAAGGGUGUCUUAGCUGGAGCUGAUCCACUCCAUUGGAGCCUCUCACUAUAGAAGGGCUGUUUGGACAAGGACAAGGCCGAGCGCAAGUGUGUGUGUGUGUGUGUGUGUGUGUGUGUGUGUGUGUGUGUGUGUGUGUGUGUGUGUGUGUGUGUGUGUGCGUGUAUCUAUGGCGACGCACCACGAUCGCCGCGAAGAGGGAAAUAGAGCCGUGUUCUGCUGUAUUUAUUGACGGCUCAAUUCAAAACGCUCGGCGGAUAACUCAGGCCGGCCCGCGCGCCUCUUAGGGGGGACACUAGACGUUUCGCCGCGUGCUGUGCGUGACUCAACUGAGCUCCCUGUUCAUCAAAGAGUGACAGCUUACCUCAGUGGAAAUUUAACUGAGUCAUCAUGUUCAGCGACUGAACCGAACAUGGAGGCUUUAGCACCUCCGCAGACACAUAUGAGCGCACGCACACAGAAACACGACCGCUUCAACCAUAGGCGGUUUUCCUCCAUUUCUGCGUCCUAUUUUUUCGCUGAUGUCGCCCUUUUCAGCACGAGGCCAUUUCUGCCAAAGUGCCAUUUAAGGGUAAAAAGACAGCGAAAUGCUAGAAUGGAGCCGCCGGUCUCCUUCUGACGCCGGAGAGCAUUGCGCCUCUGCAGGUGCUGUGCCUGUGUUCCUGGUUUGAACCCAGGAAGCGAGCCGAGGCCAAGACCUGGAUGUGGACAAGCAAUCAAGGAAUGUCUGGCACCGGCGCUUAAAGAAUGCUGCAGCGGAGCCUUUGGGCAAACUGAAUAAUUCACGGCUCAUUUUAGGCUGCGACCUCCCCGGAGAGGCGUGUUUGCUGGCGGCAGAAGUCGAAAUAAAGUCUGCGGCAUUUAAAAAUGUCGCCGGGUGAGAAAAAUCUGAGCGAACACAUGAAAAACGGCGUAAUCUAAUAAGUGAUUUCGCUGUAAAACGCAAAACGCGCUACAUCUCGAGUUAGAGCGCAGGGCUUCGGAGAGAAGGAGAAAAACAGAGACAGCGAGACAGCAUUCUUUCCCUAUGUUUAAAAAAAGCUGCUCCAGUAUUGUCUGCCAGUUACAGUUAAAACUUAAGCCAUAAAUCAACACAUCACUUCCUGUAUUGGGUCAUUAUUGUUUUGUUUGAUUUACAAUUUCUCUCUUCUUUUUUUUUUCUGUGUAUUCAGCUGAUAAGGCGUACAGUCGGGGCUUGAAAAGGCACACCCUUUGCCUGCUCUUGUUCAGCUACUAAAAAUAAGUGGUGAAGUAAUGUGAAAAACACUGCUCUAUUUACAUUCUGGUAAGUUACAGUCGCUACACUGCCUGCCUGCCUGCCUGCCUGCCUGCUUCCCUGCCUGCUUCCAGUGUGGAAUCUAGGCUGAAUGACUGAGGGGGAAAUUUCAUUGCCUUUUUUUUUUUCUCACCAGCCAAGGGACGGGGAAAAUGGUGAGAAAAUGGAGAUACUGUAUAAAUAAAGAGGACAAAGUGACCUAAGACGCCAAUGGGAGUUGGGGCCGCAGAGAUAAGAAGACACUGCAGGGCGGAUGGCGGAUACAAAUCUCCCUGGCUGAAUUUAUGAAUGAUUGGGAUCAGGCGGGCACGUGGACAGAUGUGCGCGCUCCGCUCAGAGCCUGCCAGCCGUCACGCGUUUCCUCUGACGACACCGCUGUCCACGGUGGACGGAGGGAGAGGGGAGAGGGGAGAGGGGAGAGGAGAGAGGAGAGAGGAGAGAGGAGAGAGGAGAGGCGGGCGGGGAGAUAAUGCCAAAUGCCAAGAUGAGCCACCAUCGCAGCACGCAGCUGGCAUUUUCUGUGACGCGCAUUCUUGAAAGAGGAAGCGCAUUCGUUGCAUUUUUUUAUUCGGGCUGAUUUGUUGAUUUCACUUACAUACGUGUCUGAUCGUACUGUUGUCAUUUGUUAAUAAUGUUAACACUUAGAGAUGAGUGGAGAGACUAAGUCCUGCCCUUAAUGUUGGAUUAUUUUGGAAAAAAUAACAUGCAAUCAGCAAUAUGAUGUUUUUCAAAUUAAAAUCGUCGUGUGCAACAAUAUGGCCGUCUAUUUAUCUACCUGCCUAUAUUACUGGAGACCUGUGUUGGGAGUAAUGUGUUAUAAAAGUAAUGCAGUUACUGUAAUGCAUCACUUUUUGCUGUUAGGCUCCACAAUGAACUCUCGUAAUAUGUGCAGUAUUAUUACACUCUCACCGUUCACUACUUACACUGUACUGUGUACAACCCUGUGCAAUGUCUGACAAUCAGCAUCUGUUACAAUUCAAUUACUUUUUGUUGCAAUUCAAUAUUUUUUGAAUAUAUGCCAAUGCUUGUAUAUUGUUUAGUCUGUUCCAUUUUUUAUCUUUUACAUAGUCCACCCUUUAUUCUUGUUAUUUUUCUCCCCCUAUGUAUGCUGUGCAAUUUUCUCACUGUGGGACAAAUAAAGGUUUUCUAAUUCUAAUAUAUGGCAUUACGAAAAAAUAAUUGCAAUAUUUUAUUUGGUACAAAUGUGAGUAACGUGCGUUACAAUGGAUUUUAAACCCGAAAUUAAUUAAAUCAAUUAAGUUGUGUUUUUAUACAUAUUCGAGAUUAGCAGAGGGGUGAAAACAUCCGAGCAAAGUUAACUUCCUGCCAGUGCUAGAGAAGCUGACCGGGGAGAAGAUGACUGCAGCAGCAGAGUCGGACUCUACAUUCACCUGAUGGACACCUGCUCGUUAUAUUCAGUUCGUCAGAGACGAAGAAAGUUACAGUUAAAUUCACUUUGUGUGCGAAACCAAAAGAUCUCUGUACCUCGUGAAAUAGCACAAGUAAUUUAAUGAAACAUCUAGCGUGGUGCUAUGAGUCAUAACUGUGGCCAUUUUAUUGUACUGUUGUUAGCGUUAAGCCUAGCUUAGUCAUUACGCCGUUCCAUAUCACUUUCUACUGUAUGUGAAAAUGAGCUACGCUGAAUGCAAUAAGAUCUAAUGAGAACGCACAAUCAAUAUUUCCAGUUACUUUUGGUGAAAGUAACUUAAAAGCAACGCAAACGCAAUGUAAUACCUUACAAUUCAAAGACAGUAAUAUUAUAAUGCAACUAAUUACUUUGACAGUACAGUAAGAAGCAAUGCUGAAGUUAAAACAAAUUACAAAACCUCUGGGUUUGUCUUCCUGCCUAUUCAUAGGGUCAUACUUUAACAGUUUUGUGACACUUUAUUGACUCGAACGUGUAAUUUGUGGAACAAUUCAAACAUGAACAAUGUUUUUUUUCCCUGAUAUGUGGUCCCAUUGUGGUCCACCAGCGGUGGGGACUUUCACUCUCCGAUGUGGUGCCAAGAUUUAUUUUAGCGUGGCAAGUGUGGCCAUCAAUCUACGUCGUUUUCAUUUGAAUCCACAAUGGUUCUCCUGUCGACAACGCAUCAGGAGUCACACGGUCCGAGUCCCACAGUUCACAGCAACUAACUCAUCGUCGAGAUGAAAACGGCAACCCAAAGGUGCACAUUCGUCAGUCGAGUCGAGUCGUGGAAAAAGUGAACAUUUUCUCAAGUGUUAGAUGACAGAAAAAGGCUUUUACUGUAAGGAGAUCUGAAAUCACUAGUCUCCAUCUUAAAUUACAUCAUCUGAUUUAGUCAUAAUGCUAAAAUACGGGAACAAAAUUAGAUAGAAAACGCUUUUAUUUUCACAGCAGGAAAUCAAUAAAGCUUGAAUAGGUUUAAAUCAGACAUCUACCGAGAUAAAAAUACGCCAAAAAAAGAGACUUUGUUUUUGUUUUUUUUUUGGGGGGGGGGGGGCUGCAAAAGUUAGAAACUGGUGUUUUGAAGAAAAACAAUGUACACACAGAGAACCGAAAAACAGCUCCUUGCAGCACAAAUAUCUCCAACAAUCUAGUUUUAAGCUGGAAACAAUUUAGAAGGUCUUGGGUGAGUAAAAUAAUCACGUUACAUAGCCUUGAUUAAGCCACUUAAGGACUGAUGGAGAGCGAAAUGGUUUGAUACGGAUAACAGAACAGUGGCCAAUCUUUAUUUCUUUCCACUGACUCCACUUCAUAUAUAAUUUCUUUCGGUAUUAUCUGAUGACAGCGGCUGUGGAAGCUCCACCGGAGGCUGGUGAGACCCGAAUCAGCUGAUGAUGAAACAGAGCAAGGACUCGAUCACGUAUUUUGCCACCGCUCACCCUCCCCUCACCUCCCAAAUCUCUGAUGAGGAAAAAGAAGUUUGCAUCUUAUCUGCAGGAAAUAGCAUUAGCCAAAAUUGUACUCUUGGGUUGGGUGCUUGAAAGGGAUGGCAUGGCCGCGGCCAUCAUUAGCCCUGUCCCCCGACGUGCGGCCUGCCUCUGAUCCAGAGCCAGGGCUGGGCAGGAAAGGCAGAAGGUGGCCGGGAGAGGGUAGCCAGUCCUGGGUGGGCUCCACCACUUGGGCCCCGCUAAUGGGCUGCCCACCAUCAACCUGGUAUGUCGGUAUGCAGGCCACCACCGCUCGUUCUGACGUCAGGGGAUUUUAAAUCUGCUGGAGGAGACGACCGAGAAACGGGAGCAGCCACCCGGUCCACCUAGUCCCACGCGCCGCCCCUGCGCCUUUUAACAUCCAUUUCCCAUCUUCCCAUCUCGGAGCGAUGAGAAGCCAAACAGAGCAUAAGCUUUUAGUUCUGCUCAGUUUCUUAUCUUCUGAGUGUGUUGUGCCCAUGUUUCCAUGUUUUCUCCUUUUCACAGGGAGCAAAACAGUCGUUCACAUCCCACAAUGCCCUGCACCGGCACCAAUGAGAACUUUCCCAGCAGUUUCCAGAAUGACAGCUAUUUUUCCCAUGCUCUCCUUUCAGGGAACCUAUUUGGGGCAUUAGGCUAUCAAACCAGCUGAGAAUGAAAAAUAACUCAUGGAGAAUUAAAGAAACAAUUCAACCGGGGAAAAAAAAAAAAAAUCACUUUAAGGGCACUAUAUCAGCUUUUUAUAAAAAAGAAACCCUUUUUAAAAACCUUUGACUAUACACUGAAGUGUUGCGCGAUGUUCCGUGUUCUUUAAGGAACAAUGAGAUAACCGAAAAGCAGAAUUUACAACCACUUUUGUGGCCGAAUGUGUCGGGGGUGAAUGGUUCGUCCAGCCCCGAGGCGAACCUACAACCUCCCAUUCAGAUUAACAGCCCCGUCAACGAGCGAGGCACAUCACCUUUGCUCUCUGCAUUUUUACGACACAAGCCUCCAAUCGCGACGCGGCUCUGGGGGCGGCGGGCAGCAUCGCAGCCCAAACACAGAGGAAGAGGAGCACACUGUCAGGCGCAGUGUCAAGUGUCUCCUGACGGGGAACUCAAGUGUCCUCCAUUGUGCCGUGAAAAGGUCGCGAUGUACAGGAAAGCGCGGGGGAGCCGAGCGAAAACAGGAAGGCAAGGAAAUGUAUAUUCUGUAAGUAUAGUCUUUGACACCAUUAUAAGAGCUUCUCGCAACAAUGAGACAAAAAGCUGUGACACCGCAACGCAGAGCACUGGGCCAGCUUAUCAGACGAAUACUAUUAAUACCAGGGAGACUUUGUCCCCAUGCCCCCUGGGGGAGAAAUACGAAGGAAGUCAUCGAUUCUUCCCACCAUAAUCUCUGGGAAUGACAGACCUUGCUUUUUCCCUUUUGGUCGAUGAGGGUUAUUAUUCUAAACAUUUGAAAAGGUCCACACAAGAGCUAUUUCUGUGGCAUUAGAGAGUCGGAUCCACUGUAGCACCAAUAAACCAUCGCUCCGAGAGCCUCUGCUUCCCAAGACAUGGGCCUGAUCUCUGGGGAUCACGUGUCCAUCGUGAACUCUGUCAAUCUGUCAAAACUCAAUUAAUUGACACCGUGCUCGCAGAAAAUCGUAUGCGUUUGCUUAUGUUUGCAGGAAAAAGACCUCUAGUGGCAGCAUCAAGUAUUGCCGAAGUAGCAAAACUCAAAACCUCGAGAGAGGACAAACACAGUCAACACUGGUUUCUUUUAAUCGUGACUAGAAAUUUGCCCUGAAAUUAACAAAACUUUUUUUUUUUUUUUGUUUUUGACUAUUCACCAAAACCAAAUCAGGAUAUGCUUAAGAGUAACUUGUUCGUAAAAUGUCCAAACGACUAAAAAUACUUCAAGGUGCUUCGAAUAUUAAGUUGUGUCAAUAUGAUUGAAAACUGGUCAUAUUUUUUGUGCAAACAUCAAAUUAAAUCAUAAAGUUUGAUUUAGAAACAUCUCAGAAAGCACAAGAGUUUAUAACACGUAAAACGAAGGAGAACUAUUUGAGAUUAUGCCCAGUUUCUUCAAAGGAGUUGUGUCCCUUCCAUUAAAGCAGCAUUCUGAUUAAAUUAUCGUGUUGCGACUGCGGUCGUGUUUCGUGCAACCCACCUUAGCUUUCCAGGAACCGUCCAAACGAGGAGCAGCAGGUGUGUGUGUUUGUGUUAAUGUAAAUGGAUGGUGGAAGCGCAAGAUCGCGAUUGGUGGAGUGAGUCUGUCUGUGGUUGAAAUGUGCGGUAGCAGGAAGGAGAUUGGCGAAGCACCUGGCUCCUCGCAGCUGAAUGGCUGCAGGACAACCAUCCUCCCUUCAGGUUUUCUCCUCUUUUCGUUAGUAAGGAAGGUGUUUUCUGACUUGUCAUGUUCAUUUAGUUAGUUUAGCACUUUCUACACAGAUUUGUUUGUUCUUUGUUGUUUUGACCUUUGCUGAUCUUCUGUCUUCUUCCGAAGACAGGGCGUAACAAUACACUUGUUCAAGUCAAUUAACCUGCAGACGUUGUUCAAAUGACUGCGUGUCGGGUUUCCAGCAGGGCAAUGCCUAAUUGGUAGCGUUGUUUUAUAUACCGAUCAGCCAUAAUAAUAAAACCACUGGCAGGAGAAGUAACUAACACUGACCAUCUUGUGACAAUUCAACGUUCUAUGUUCUUCUAGGAAACUUUUGGUGCUGGCGUUUGUGUGGCAUGUACCACCCACCUAGACCCCACAGCAAAGACACAGACAAUAAAAUGGUUUAGGUACAACUUAAAAACAUGAAGAACAGCACAAGGUGUUGACCUGGCCUCCAAGUUCACUAGAUCCCAAACCGAUCAAGUGUCUGUGGGACGAACUGGAACAAGUCUGAUCCACAGAGGCCCCUCCCCUAAAUGUGUAAAGGCCCAUGUUCAUUUCCAUUGAAAUCAGUAUAAGAUUUUUCAUGUAAGGCUUGUUUCCCAUUAAUUGCCUCGAGCAUGGUCUAACGUGCCGCUACAAUCUGCUAAUGAAUCGAAAAUAGUAGUACAAUAAGUGUAUCUCAGUUCGUCAAUGUUGUGGUGAAAGUGAAACUCAUCAAGGACACACUAAAUGUUUAAGUGAAACUUAUCGUUAGGCGAUGCAUGUGUUUUAGUUGAAUCUAAGUUUGACGCGUUUGCAUCUGGUAAGGAAUAUCUUCAUACACUGAUCAUAUGCAUCCACGACCCACCACUGUCAUGUAGAUGUGCAAAAAGCGUCAACAUAAUAUUAUGUUCCAACUGCCACUGUCCAAGGAAGCAAAACGGCAACCUCUGUUGUCAAGAUUAGUGCUAAAUAGUGUUAAGACGAUGUUCUGACUGGUAAACCUGUGUUUGUACUUAACAAAUGCUUUACUUAGUCGUCCACGGUAUUGGAGUAAUUCAUUGUCCCGGACAUUGUUCAGUGUACAGCCUGUUCAAGUCGGGUGUCAGGAGGAUAUAUUAUGUUCCUUAACUGCCGUAAUUAAGUUUCAAAUCUGCCUCGCAAUUCAAUUUUACUACACUCUGUAAAUAUAUACCACAUGAAAACUAUUGACAGCGCAAUCCAUGCUGUGAAAUGCUUGCAGAUGGAUAAGGAUGCCAGAGCAGCUGUCGGGACCGUUCUUGAUAGCAAACACGGUGGGCUGGAUAAUAAACUGCACAGUCGUUGUGACAGGAUGAGGAUGAGAGGAAGUCAGGCAGCGUCGGUGUAUGCACUGGUCUUGGCGUGUGUGUUUAACAUUCUUCCUCUGGCUUACUCGACCACAAAGGCUGCCUGUGUGUGUGUGUGUGGAUGUGUGUGUGGCAGGUAAAAAAAAAAAAGAAAGAAAGAAAAACAAACACUUAAUACAUAUCUAUGUCUAUAUCCAAACUGAUGAGUUACAUGGAAAUGAACUCCCUCACAAACAUGAUUGUUUGUUGGGCAAUUUAACAUUGAGGUUUAUGGGGAUGGAUUGUUCCUGCCAGCCUCAAGUGGCCGUUCAGGGAAUGGCAGUUUAUGAUAUAAUUUUUUACAGCCCCGGAGAUUAUCUUGCAAUAGUGGUGAAUCAUGACACUUUAGGAGCACGUCAGGUUAAAGUUGUGAUGACAUGCAUUUAAAGGAAUAACACGUGGACUAACCUAAAGUAACCUUAUAACACUUUUUUUUUUUUUUACACUUAUUUUGCACAAAUAAACCCUGCAUUAGAAGUCUGCUGCAACCCUGUGAUAACAGGGCAACACAAUCUUUGUCAAAUGUCUCUGUGUGUUUGUAAAUGAUCAAAUAAAUGGACAUUUCUGCAAAGAGGCUCACUGAGCUCCACCUCUGGCCCAGGUUUGCUCAGCUGCGAGGAGCAGGGCAGCUGCACAGUGCUACUCCUAACGGGCAAAGUUUGUGAACACAAGUGUUCUGCUGCUGCUGCUUGUGACAUACAAAGCACAUAAAAAGUGUAAAGUUCAAUCACACUUGAAUGCCCUGUAUCCUGAAGUGCAUGCAAAAGUACGUCAAGGAUUAAUGUUUUUUUUAAGUGUAAGUUCAUGAAAGAUGAGUUGGCUUUCAUUCAUCAGCAACUUUGGGGUUUCCUAAAGCCCUUUGUAUCGGAGGACACACAACAAUAAUGACCUGGUGACAUGCUGAAAUCAGUUAUUAAAGUAUUAUUUGCACUGGUCUUCAUUUAAUAUGAGCAUAAUUAUACUAAUAAAUAAGAUAGCAUGUGGAAACCAGUCCAUGUUAUCAUUGAGGAACAGACAUAAACAUCACCUUGUGAUUAUUAUGCUUUCUCUUCCUCUGUGAUCUACAUCCUCUGUGAAUUUUUUUGUAUCGCGGACAACGGCGCCACUUCCAUCUCGAGAAGGCAUCCAGCCACUGCUUUCCAGAGAGAUGAUAUCGGCCGUUUGAUAUACUGACUGGAACUGAUUUAAAAUACUGAAACAUUACAGUGUUUGUGUGUUAGAGUGAAUACACAAAUUAGCUUGAGUUAUCAUCGCAUGUGCACAAAUAUGCAGUUAAUGACAGGCAGCAGAACAAACCGAUGAGGAUGGAAGACGCUGAACAGCACGUUCGUCCUCUCAAUGGAAAAUCUGAGUACAAAAAAAAAAAAACAAGACCGAACAGACUGCCGUAAAGUAUUAUGCAGACUAUGGAGGAAGGAGUUUUUUUUUUACCAAAACACUUCCAGGUUAAAAUGCCACAUUAAUGAAGCAUACGUCAGACUGAGAUUCCGCUAGCACUUUGGCUAACGCAUCACCCAGAUUGAGACAAACCAAGACAAAGGCAAGCCGACAAUGCAGGCUUGGAAAUAUCUCACCACUCCUCCAACUGUUGUUCCAUGUGAGAGACUGUUCUCAGUUUCAGGCAACAUUUUAAGUAAGAAGUGGUCAGCUCUGUAUGGUAGUUUGUCUUAGUAGCUGUUAAGAUUUUUCAUGUUUUUUUGUGGAAACUGUCGAAGGUGUUUAAUAAACACGUUAAGUGCACAUAUAUGUGUAUGCCUGUAUAUAUAUUCCCUUCUUUUUUGAGUUGAAAAAUUAGAGAUUAUAGAUUAAAAAUUAAUGAUAUUUAAUCGUGAUUAAUCAAAGUUAAUCUGACUGAUCUGAUUAAUCGAUCUGAUUAAAAAUCUUAUUUGUUUGACAGCACUAUGCUUUUAUUUUUUAUUCACUACUAUGCAUUUUAUUUAUACAUUUUUGUGUAUUUAUUUUAACUUGUAUCAACUUGUAUCUCCAGAAAGUUCAAAACACAACUUAUUAAAUCACAUUGUGCUUAUACAACACGUGUGAUUUGUGGGGCAAAGAAAUUUUAAUCAGCAGUUUAAAAAGCAAAUCAGUCAUUGUGUGCCAGAAGCGACAGAAGCAGAGAAAGCACCUAAGGCUCACAUUUACAGGAAUCCAUGCUUGUGGUGGAGAAAGAGAGACACAGUAGUGGUAUCAUAUCACUGUGAUACUGAAAAUGACAGCAGUGAGGUCAAUAAUAGAACCUAUGCUGACCUUUACCUCGCUGAAAGCUCUGUCGGGGCGCACGUUGGCGAACAACGGCAUCCUCUUGAGCAACCCCGACCUGACGACACUAAUCAAUUAACCCUCUCAAACGUGCUAUGAAACUGUAGGCGGACCAAUCCCCACAACAAGUAUUAGUUUCAUUUCUAAAAUAAGAUCACAAAUAGCGUAAUGAGCAAAGAUUUCCACGACUCCCUCAGACGUCUUUUUUUUUUUUUUUUUGAUCAGAAACAACCACGAUUGAAGAAAGCUACAAGCAAGCAGAAGAAAGCCUUUCAGGCUCCUGUGGGGGGACAGACAAGCCAGCGAGACUGGUUU